GCCAGUAUAGCUCAGUAGGUAGAGCAGUCGCCUUGUAAGCGUCAGGUCAUGGGUUCAAUUCCUAUUGCUGGCACCA
rnacentral:tRNA from 2 species